GAGACACGAGAUCGAAGCAAGACGAGCGAACCCGUAAUCGCCGACGACCUCGGAGCGAUGGGGGUGCACGAGCGGCGUCGACCGUGAGGCCACCACGCCAUGCUAUCCCUUCGUUUCGAGCCCCCUCCUCUUCCGCGAAGGACGGGGAUGGGACGACGUACAAACCUGGGCGCGGCAUGCGCCAAGGACGUUUUGAAAUAUGAAGCGGCUGCGCCGCGCUCAACGAGGGCGGCGCCCCGCGUGUGCAAAUCUUGAAGAGCAAAAUGACUCUCGGCAACGGAUAUCUCGGCUCUCGCAUCGAUGAAGAACGUAGCAAAAUGCGAUACUUGGUGUGAAUUGCAGAAUCCCGCGAACCAUCGAGUCUUUGAACGCAAGUUGCGCCCGAGGCCACCAGGCCGAGGGCACGCCUGCCUGGGCGUCACGCCUCAUGUCGCCCCAACCGACGCCCUCCUCCUCGAGGCGAUCGGUCCGGGAGCGGAGAUUGGCCUCCCGUGCCUCCGCGUGCGGCGGGCUGAAGAGCGGGCUGCCGGCGCAUGUCGCGGCGAGACACGACGAGUGGUGGACAUAUGGACGCCGAGCGCGCGAAUUGUGGCCGAAGCGUCGCGGUCUCGUCGCACACCUGUUGCCGAAAUGCCCUCGGGACCUCAUCACGGGCCGAGCCGUGAGCGGGCAAGGCGCUCGACGCCGUCCGUCUCAGGCCGCGAGCCCUCGCGUCGCGACCC
rnacentral:rRNA from 1 species